UAUACGUCAUUGUUUUGCUUCAGAAGAGAAUGGUGGUGUUAAAAGAAUAUUGGAGGAGGCCGUGAAAGAGGGAGACCAGCAAACAACUUCAAAUUCUGACGAGAUGGGAGUGAAAAAGAUGGUACAAAGAUGCGAUUUCUAUUUGUAUUUUUUCAUGUACCUUUGUGGGCCAACGCUGGGACUGGUGUUUUUUAACAACUUGGCUCAAAUAGCUGAAUCCCGUGGCCACUCUGCAAGCUCUUUAGUCUCUUUGUCUUCUUCGUUCGGGUUCUUCGGCCGUCUCAUCCCAUCCUUUACGGACUACUGCUUCUUUCGGUCUCCAUUAUCAUUUCUUUUAGAAAAGGACUAAGUAUGAGGUGAUUUCAAGACCAACAUCUUUGGCAGCAGUAUCAAUGGCUCUGAUGGCAUUAGCUUUCUUCUUACUAAUUGUUCCCUCCAGUACCACCAUCCUCUUAUACAUCAGCACUGCCAUUAUAGGAUUAUGUGCCGGAGCAAUUUCAUCUGUCGGUGUAUGCAUCACCGCAGACUUGUUCGGGAGGAAGAAAUUUUCUCAGAAUCAUAAUGUGGUGAUUGCCAAUAUUCCAGUGGGAUCCUUAACUUUUGGUUGCCUGGCAGCUUUCCUUUACCGCAGGGAAGGAAACGGAGAUGUUAUAUGCAUGGGAAUGAAAUGCUACGGAACGACAUUUGUAAUCUGGGGUUCAUUAUGUGCUUUUGGGACAUUCCUAUCUUGUGGUCUCUAUGCUCGAACACGAAAGCUUUAUACGCAAAAGUUGCAGAAUAUGACUUUAUAGCAGCUAGCCCUAGUCGCCUGCACGCAAUAUAUGUUUAACUUAUUGCGCCUUCUUAGUCCCACAGCGGUGGGAUAUAAAUAAAGAAAUAUUAGUUCAAGUUA